rnacentral:tRNA from 1 species
GUCUGGAUGGCUUAGUGGUCAGAGCAUCUGCCUAGUAAGCAGGAGACCUGGAUUCGAAUCCCGAUCUGGCACA